GCCUGCAACUAACCCUUUUCCACCAGUAGGGGAGUUAGGAGCUGAGUUCUGGGUGGUCAGGUGUAUCGCAUGAGUGUCAUCAGCUGGAGGACUAUAAGAAGGAGGCGAGCCAGUACUUCGACGCCUGAGUGUUUUGCCUCCUCGUGGAUACCAAAGCCUAGUUCCUAAGAGAUCUCUGGAAGACUUCUAACAGUUUAUGGAUUCUGGAUUCUCGCUCUUCUACCCGCUGGCUGCCGGAUCAGACGUUUGCUUCAUAGCUCCAGGCGAACCCUGUCCACCCUCCUCCGAACCUCUCAGGACUACCUUGCUCCAACGUUGCAGUGUUGCUCACAGCCCCUCCAGGAUCAUAACCUCUCUCCCUGGCGGACCUAACUCAACCGGACUCGCUCAGCAUCCUCGGUUUCCAGUACCUGGUUCUGCAAAUAAAACUUCUUACUAAACGCUUCUCUGUUUAGUUGUGUUUUUCUGCAUGUGGGUCAAGUCGGCCAUUAACACUAUGACAUCAGCAGUAUACCAAAU